AACGAACGCUGGCGGCAUGCCUAACACAUGCAAGUCGAACGAGACCUUCGGGUCUAGUGGCGCACGGGUGCGUAACGCGUGGGAACCUGCCCUUAGGUUCGGAAUAACUCCCCGAAAGGGGUGCUAAUACCGGAUAAUGUCUUCGGACCAAAGAUUUAUCGCCUUUGGAUGGGCCCGCGUUGGAUUAGCUAGUUGGUAGGGUAAAAGCCUACCAAGGCGACGAUCCAUAGCUGGUCUGAGAGGAUGAUCAGCCACACUGGGACUGAGACACGGCCCAGACUCCUACGGGAGGCAGCAGUGGGGAAUAGUGGAACAUGGGCGAAAGCCUGAUCCAGCAAUGCCGCGUGAGUGAUGAAGGCCUUAGGGUUGUAAAGCUCUUUUACCCGGGAUGAUAAUGACAGUACCGGGAGAAUAAGCUCCGGCUAACUCCGUG
rnacentral:rRNA from 1 species